GGACAAUGGGCGCAAGCCUGAUCCAGCCAUGCCGCGUGAGUGACGAAGGUCUUCGGAUUGUAAAGCUCUUUUGGCGGGGACGAUAAUGACGGUACCCGCAGAAUAAGCCCCGGCUAACUUCGUGCCAGCAGCCGCGGUAAUACGAAGGGGGCUAGCGUUGUUCGGAAUUACUGGGCGUAAAGCGCACGUAGGCGGAUUUGUUAGUCAGGGGUGAAAUCCCGGGGCUCAACCUCGGAACUGCCUUUGAUACUGCAAGUCUUGAGUCCGGAAGAGGUGAGUGGNAAUUCCUAGUGUAGAGGUGAAAUUCGUAGAUAUUAGGAAGANCACCAGUGGCGAAGGCGGCUCACUGGUCCGGUACUGACGCUGANGUGCGAAAGCGUGGGGANCAAACAGGAUUANAUACCCUGGUAGUCCNCGCCGUAAACUAUGGAUGCUAGCCGUCGGCAANCUUGCUUGUCGGNGGCCCANCUANCCUUUUAACAUCCCCCCUGGGGAAUACGNCCNCAGGGUUAAA
rnacentral:rRNA from 1 species